rnacentral:rRNA from 1 species
AGUGAACGCUGGCGGUAUGCCUAACACAUGCAAGUCGAACGGCAGCACAGUAAGAGCUUGCUCUUACGGGUGGCGAGUGGCGGACGGGUGAGGAAUACAUCGGAAUCUACUUUUUCGUGGGGGGUAACGUAGGGAAACUUACGCUAAUACCGCAUACGACCUACGGGUGAAAGCAGGGGAUCUUCGGACCUUGCGCGAUUGAAUGAGCCGAUGUCGGAUUAGCUAGUUGGCGGGGUAAAGGCCCACCAAGGCGACGAUCCGUAGCGGGUCUGAGAGGAUGAUCAGCCACACUGGAACUGAGACACGGUCCAGACUCCUACGGGCGGCCGCAGUGGGGAAUAUUGGCCAAUGGGCGCAAGCCUGAUCCAGCCAUACCGCGUGGGUGAAGAAGGCCUUCGGGUUGUAAAGCCCUUUUGUUGGGAAAGAAAAGCAGCAGGUUAAUACCCCGCUGUUCUGACGGUACCCAAAGAAUAAGCACCGGCUAACUUCGUG